GGAGGACCCUUCAUCGCUUGGCUUAUGGCCCUCUUCAUCCAUCUUCAAAGCCAGGAACAUUGCAUUUACCUGAACAUUCUUCUAUAGUCUCAUCUCCCUCUAGCCAUAGCCGAGAAAUGUUCUUCACUUUGAAGAAACCAUAUGGGUUGAAUUGUGGCCCCUCAAAAGCUGUGACAGGUCGGUGGCGGAGUAUUUUUCACUUCAGAAGCCAAGAACUUUUGCUAGAAUAUGAAGGCCAGAGCAGCUGGGCUUUAAUGCUAGAUUCUGCACAGGGAAGACAAAGGAAAAAACAGGAUGAAGUAUAUGUCAGAAUGCUGAGGAUGUGUUCCCAUGAGUUUCUCCCUCCUUGUACCCCACCGAAUGGAAUGUUAAAAAUACGGAGAAAGCAAUUUAUGCAGAUGAAGUCCCAACUCUGGCCAUGGCCAAUAUUAGCUGGAUAAUUCUUUGAAUCUGGCUAAUGUGGAAUCUUGCAAGGACAAAGAGGAUUUGCUCAUGAACUGAUUCCAGGCACUUGCACAUCACUGUGCCCCUGCUUCUAUUCAGCACUGCAUUUCAUUUUGCCUCAUGAUAUGGUAAGGGCUCUAUUUCCCACUGGAGUCCAGAGGAAGCAGCAAGAAGAUGGCACAAAGACAGAGUCCUCCACUAGUGAGCCUCUUUAUCUUCCUUCUACAGAAGCUCUGUGCAGAAACAGCAACUCAGGCUGUCCCUUAAGCAGCUUCAUUGUCAAAGGCUCAAUAGAAUUCUCCUUCUGAACAAAGGGAGAUACAUUUCUUUAUCUGUCUAAUUAAUGCUUAGACUUAAAAAGAAUGUAUUCAGUCUACAGCCUAGAGAGGAUGAGCUAC